UACGGGGGGGGCAAGCGUUGUUCGGAAUUACUGGGCGUAAAGGGCUUGUAGGUGGCCAACUAAGUCAGACGUGAAAUCCCUCGGCUUAACCGGGGAACUGCGUCUGAUACUGGAUGGCUAGAGUUUGGGAGAGGGAUGCGGAAUUCCAGGUGUAGCGGUGAAAUGCGUAGAUAUCAGGAAGAACACCCGUGGCUAAGGCGGCUCUCUAGUACGGUACUGACGCUGAGACGCGAAAGCGUGGGGAGCGAACAGG
rnacentral:rRNA from 1 species